rnacentral:rRNA from 1 species
AACGAACGCUGGCGGCAUGCCUAACACAUGCAAGUCGAACGAAGUCUUCGGACUUAGUGGCGCACGGGUGCGUAACGCGUGGGAAUCUGCCCUUGGGUACGGAAUAACUCAGAGAAAUUUGAGCUAAUACCGUAUGAUGACGUAAGUCCAAAGAUUUAUCGCCCAGGGAUGAGCCCGCGUAGGAUUAGGUAGUUGGUGAGGUAAAGGCUCACCAAGCCGACGAUCCUUAGCUGGUCUGAGAGGAUGAUCAGCCACACUGGGACUGAGACACGGCCCAGACUCCUACGGGAGGCAGCAGUGGGGAAUAUUGGACAAUGGGCGAAAGCCUGAUCCAGCAAUGCCGCGUGAGUGAUGAAGGCCUUAGGGUUGUAAAGCUCUUCUACCCGGGAAGAUAAUGACUGUAUCGGGAGAAUAAGCCCCGGCUAACUCCGUGCCAGCCGCCGCAGUAA